rnacentral:rRNA from 1 species
UACCUACGGGAGGCAGCAGUGGGGAAUAUUGGGCAAUGGGCGCAAGCCUGACCCAGCAACGCCGCGUGAAGGAAGAAGGCUUUCGGGUUGUAAACUUCUUUUCUGAGGGACGAAACAAAUGACGGUACCUCAUGAAUAAGCCACGGCUAACUACGUGCCAGCAGCCGCAGUAAUACGUAGGUGGCAAGCGUUAUCCGGAUUUACUGGGUGUAAAGGGCGUGUAGGCGGGACUGCAAGUCAGAUGUGAAAAUUAUAGGCUCAACCCAUAACCUGCAUUUGAACCUGUAGUUCUUGAGGGAUGGAGA